rnacentral:lncRNA from 1 species
GGUGGGCCUUCGCGGCUCCGCUGGGUUGGCAGCCGCUUGAGCCACUGCGAGGAAAGCAAAGUCUGGGCCAUGGAGAUGAGCCUAGUCCUGCUGUUCCUGAUCCGCACUGCCCUUUUUGCACCCCAGGGAGCUGCUGCUGACGGCGCCUCCCUCUGUCGCCAAAGUUGGAGUGCAGUGGCGCGGUCUCGGCUCACUGCAAGCUCCGCCUCCCGGAUUCAAGUGAUUCCCCUGCCUUAGCCUCCUAAGUAGCUGGGAUUACAAGUGCCCACCACCACACCCGGCUAAUAUUUUGUAUUUUAAUAGAGACUGGGUUUCACCAUGUUGACCGGGAUGGUCUCAAUCUCCUGACCUCGUGAUCUGCCUGCCUAAGCCUCCCGAAGUGCUGGGAUUACAGGCGUGAGCCACCACACCUAGCUGAGCCCCACAGUCUUUGUUACAACCUCACGGUGCUGUCCCAGGAUGGAUCUGUGCAGUCAGGGUUUCUCGCUGAGGGACAUCUGGAUGGUCAGCUCUUCCUGCUCUGUGACAGGCAGAAAGGCAGGGCAGGGCCCCGGGGACAGUGGGCAGAAGCAGUCCUGGGAGCUGAGACCUGGGACACAGAGACUGAAGACUUGACAGAGAAUGGGCAGGAGCUCAGGAGGACCCUGGCUCAUAUCAAGGGCCAGAAAGGAGGUGAGAGUGGGCAGUGGGCAAGAGUAAUGGGAGAGGCCUUUUCCAGGAGAGUUGGGGGCAGAGAGCAGGACCUGUCUCUUCCCACUGGAUUUGGCUGUGAGUAGGGGUGAGGAAUGGUGCUCAGCGGGGCUCAGCCCACACAGGGAGGGAUGGAAGAGGGCCAGGGAGGGGUCCUUCCUGGUCCGAGUUCCUCACUUGGACUGGAAUGGAGAAGUCACUGCUGGGUAGGGGCAGGCAGCCUUGCAUUCCCUCCAGGAGAUUAGGGUUUGUGAGAUCAGGAAGCCAGCAGCACCAGGGGCUUUAGGCAUUUCUACACAUAUGGGAAGCUCUUCCUCUCUCCCAACCUGGAGACUCAGUAAUGGACAGUGCCCCGGUCCUCCAGAACUCAGACUUUGGCUAUGAAUGUCACAAAUUUCUGGGAGGAAAAUGCCAUGCAGACCAAGACACACUAUUGCCCUGUGCAGGCAGACUACAUGCAAAAGCUAUGGUGAUAUCUGAAAUUCUGGAGGUAUCAGAAAAACAGCCUGCCCAUCCUGGAGAGCUACCUCCUAGCCCCACGACCCAGGAGCCCACCCCUGACAACCCUCUCCUCAGCAUCAAAGCCGGAGUCCCAGAGUGUGAGGCCACAGUCCUGAGGCCCAUCUUCCAGCAAGCCUAGGGGAAUUGGACCCCAGGUAAGGACCGAUUUGCAGAAGGUCUGGGGUCAGUGUGGGUUUCAGCGAGAGUCAGAACAAUAGAGAGGACCAGUCCUGUUCCCUGCAUCUCCCUUAGAGGGGAGAAAGGCUUGGCCACAUGCCUCACUGGCUCUGCCCUUUUGUCUCCAAUGACCCCCACAGUGAAUGAGAUGCACAGUGGGGCCUUAGAAGGCAAUGUCACCAUGAUGUGCUGGCCUCCAUCUUCUAUCCCUGGAAUAUCUCUCUGACCUGGCAUCAGGAUGAGGCAUCUUUGAGCCAGGAUGCCCAGCAGUCUAGGGGUGUCCUGCCCAAUGGGAAUGGGACCUACCAGACCUGCAUGGCCACCAGGAUUCCCCGAGGAGAGGAGCAGAGGUUCACCUGCUACAUGGGACACAGAGGGAAUCACAGCACUCACCCUGUGCCCUCUGGUGAGCCUGGGGCAACUCUCAAGGGUUUCGACCUAGGGAGGUCAGGCCAGGGUGGGGAUAGCAGGGACGGCUGUGGCUUUGCGUGCUCAGUGUGUCACAAGGCCCUUUUUUUAGAGAAGGCCCUGGUGCUUCAGAGUCAAUGGCAGCCAUUCUGUAUGCUGCUAUUGCUACUGUCAUUAUUAUUAGUAUUAGUAGUAGUAGUAGUAUUCUCUGUGUCCUUUGGUGCAAGAAGAAGACAACAUCAGCUGCAGAGUCCAGGUGAGAAAACGGGGCAGUGGCUGGAGAUGGAAGGACUCCUCUCUGGGCAGCAGGGUCCCCUCAUAGCUCCUGCACAGAUAGACAUGUAGGUAACAAGGUCCUGGAACAGGGGAUGGACAUUGGGGUAUUUGGGAGGGGAAUGGGAGCCACAUCUCCAUCUACACCCCUAAGUCCUGCCCAAGCCAGGGCUGGGCCACGGCCCUCAAAUGUCCAGCGGUGGCCUCCUCCUGCUGCAGGUGAGGAGUGGGCAGCAGGGAGGGCUGUGGCACCUGCUCUGUCCCCAUCCUGGUCUCUCUUGUUUCUUGGGCUCACCACGGUGCGUCCAGGUGGGGUGAGUUGAGAAUCACGUGCUGAUUGCUGAGGGCCUGGAUGAUCAUGGCUUCAGUGGGAGUAAAUAGUAAAGGCGGCUGUGAUCUGGGGAGGGGCUAGAAACUGGAGAGGAAUCUGAGGAGAGGCGGUGCCCCUAGUCUCUUCCUCUCUGCAUCCCUCUCUCCUGUUUCUCCAGCCAUCAGGAGGACACCAAGAAAAAGACCCACGAAGCCCAGACUGGGAGGCCUGCCUGUGCAGCCCCUUUGAGGUCCCCUUGUAACAGGGAGGGUCCUGAGUGCACACAGCCAUCUCUGUCCACUUUGCAGCUCCCCAUGGGCCUCCUCCAGGAGCUGUCUUGGGGGUAUCAUGUCCUCUGCAUCACUGGAGGUUCCCACCACAUGGCCCUGCCUCCCUGAGUUUCUGUGCAGAUGUUAUGGAGGAGUAUAUAAGCAGACAUCCCUGGGCCAUUUGGGAAGCAGGAACCAGCUCCUUGUCAGGGCAGCUGUGGUCCCUAUUUUCAUCAUAUGUCCAAGUGUUACCUUGUCUAGCCCCCAGGAACACAGUCCCCAGGACCAUGUUUUUUGGGGCACCCACAGCAGGGGCAGUGCAGGUCUGGUUGCUCCUGCUCUCACCUGCAGCAUCUCCCGUAGAGGAAUUGUCAGUUCUGGUUCCCUGUGGGCAGUAAAGGUUUCCUUGUAGGUCACUGGGGCAUUGGCCAGAAAAAGGUUGUGAAAAUCACAUGCUAAUUUCUCAAAAUUCCUGCUUUCAAUGUUGAUGUCCAAUAAAGAUGUUCAUAAUUUCAGCUGGAUAUUCUUAAUAGGAUUUCCUCCAAUACCGAUGCUGUAAAGCAUAUUGAAUGGAACAGGAAUUCAAAUUUGAAACUCUCUCUCUAGAAGGGUCCAUGUGGGAGAUGGUGGCUGUGGCUGUGGCAAUCCCCAGGUGCAGAGUGGGCGGAGGCAGCCUCAGGCUGAGGGGUCUCAAGAAAUCCCUUAUUCCAUAGGGAGAAGAAGAAGAUCCUCUGUGGGUGUGAGGGCAGUGGCCUGGGUGGAAUCCCUGCUAGGAACCAGACAGGAAGGCCUUGCAGCCUCACCAAGCAGCAGCCCUGGGGUGGAGCUGGAUUUCCAGGGAUGAGUGGACCAGGCAGGAGCAGGGCAUCCCAAGUGCAGGUCAUGGACCUGGGUGUCAAGGGAAGCAGAGCCUUCUUGAGCAAGGGGGUCUCCAGGGUCAGGUCAGGUGCAGACCCCAUGGCAGCCACGUGUUUCCAUCCUGGGCCUGACAGGCCUGCUGGGCUUCCUGGUGGGCUCUCCAGGUAGGAGCUGCCUGCUCAGGACUGGAAGGGGAGGAACACUGAGCUGUAGGUGGAGGGCGGAACCCACAGUGGGCAGGGCCUGCCCUGGUGUGCAGGUGCUUCUGCAGGAAAGGAGGGCCUGGGGAAAGAGGGAGAGAAAGGCCUUGUGUGUGACCCAGCCCAGGCCUGGAAGUACGUGGAGCCAGGGCCUCUCUCUGGGGAGGCCUCCCACUGUGUCCGAGCUGGCCAGGCUUGAGAGGAGGGGAGGGCACUGAGUUUCUUCUGGAGUCUUGUCAUUUAGUCCUGCGGCCCUUUCAGUCCUUACAGAGUGCAUAGUGGGCACAGGGCAAGUGCUGAUCUUCAUGAAGUCAUGGGAGGGGACUGGCAGGGGCUGGGAAAAGUGCCAUAGGAGGGAGAAAAAUGUGGGAGCAUCAUCUUCCCUCAGAGAAAGGGUGAAUCUGAUUUUGGAGUGACUGAGGAGGGAGAAAUCCUCAGGGAGUAAAAAGCAGCACUCUGCACCCAGGGGAGCAUUUAUUGGUUUCUCUAUUUUCUGCAGAGCACGUGAGCCUGCAAGGCCCGGAUCAACGCCCGGUUGGGACAGGAGACCACCAGGGCAGUGCACAGCUGGGAUUUCAGUCUCUGGUGUCAACUCCUGGGUCUACUGGCUCCACUGAGGGCAGCUACACUCUGCAGCCAGAUGGCCAGAAUUCAACUCCCUGCCCAGGUCUCACCAGCACUUUCCCACUUGGUGCCUCAGUUUCCUCAUCUAUGAAAUGGGGAAACUAACAGCAUUUAUUUCUUGUGGUUGGGUGGAUGAAAAGCGUUAGUAUAUAUGAGGGGUUUGCAGCUGUGCCACAUUAUUUUUGUUAUCAUUUGAUUAUAUUUUAAUAUAUUACAUAUGCGGUCAUUGUAUUAUUAUUAUAAAUGAGAUUUAUGAGUGAGUGUCCUGGUUACGGCUCCUUCUGGGGAGCCCAGGACCAGCUUUCCUGGCACCUUGAGGUCCCCUCACCCUGUCACACUCUCAUGCAUUACCUCAUAUCUACUAUGUCUUCAUAAUUUUAUACUAUAGAAAUUUACCCUUUAAGUAGACAUUUCUGGUCUGUGUUUUAUUUCAAGUGUCUGGGAAGGGAUAGAGUAUGAGGUUCAAGAGAGAAGGAGAGGUCUGUCUUCAUGCCUUGACACAGCACAAAGAAAUCUCCCCACCUCCCCCACAUCUCCCCACCAGUUCUCGGUGAUGGACAGAUUCACAGCAACACAGAAAGGGCUGGGAAGGGAUGGAGGGGGACAUCUGCAGCCAGUGUUUAGGGGCUGACCCUGUGGGAAGACACCUGCCUUGCAGAGGACCUCUGCAUCUUGCAGAUGCAGAGCUGAAGUCUGAUAUGAGGGAGAGGACAGGGAGUGCUUUGGACUUUCCUGAUUAAGAAGAAUAGAGAUCAGUCUGCUUCUGGGGUUAAGUGACCCCUGGGGAGAUUGGACUGAAUUAAUGAAGAAUAAAUGAACUGGGAAUGAGGAUGAGUAAAGCAAGUAUCAGCAUCUCCCAUUAUCAGUUCAGACUGAUUGGUAGAUGGGGAGGUGGGAUAGUUCCUGACCCUGUUGUGAGGUUCCUUUUAACUUUCUGGCCUUGGGGCACAGAUGGGUGGUGCUCUUCUUGGUCAGGGUAGCCUCGGCUCCACUCAGGUAAGGCAGUGGUGGCAGGGAGAGUUAUGGGAUCACCUGUGAAACGGACCAAGGCAGGGAUGGGAGCCCUCUGUGCAGCAAAAGUGGAUGCAAGGCCUGCCUAGAAGCAAGAGGAUGAAGGAACCUAGUUGGGUCCUGGUCCACUGCCUGCCUGUGUUCACAGGUCAACCAGUAAAGGAGGUGGGGUAGAGAAUUCAAUCGUGGGCUAUCUAUCCAGAGAUGUGUUUACAGGUGUAUUAUUUCACAUUUGUGUUCACGUUUGGUGUCAAAAACACAUUUAUACAUGCCUAUUUCAUGUUUAAGUAUUUUCACAUUUUAGUUAACCCUUAAAUAUCAUUGUUGAAUGCGGUUGUCAUUAGACAUAAACUUGCAUAUUCACUGAAGCUUUUGUUUUUAUUUUAAUCAAAUUUAUAAUUGUGCACAAUUGAAAGAGUCAAAUAUUUGUGCAGAAUCUCUUGAGAAAAAUGAGAGUCCUCUCUGCCUCUUCUCAAUUUCUGCCUUUCUAGGGGCCAACCACUUUCAAGUUUUUUAGCUGAUUCUUUUGACUUUACUUCUGUAUCUCUAACUACCAUUUCUUUAUUAUUAUUGCUUGAUUUUUUUCAGAUGCACCCAUUGUUGCACAGCGCAAUGGUGGAUGCAACAGUUAAGAGUACUUGUUCUCUUUCACUCUUCCCAGUAUAUUUAUAUAGUGAUUAUGUUUAGUUCAGCCAUCUCUUGUUUCUUUUACCAUGACUAAUCCUCUCAUAUGUCAACUGGACUACUUUUCACUGCCUGUACAACAUUGGUUCUUCUUGGAGUUAAUACUUGCAUUUGUUUUUGUUUAUUUUAUUAACUCUCAUUAAUUUAAGUUUGAUAUCUCUUUUGUUUGUAUGAUUCUUUCAAGACGUUGGACACUUUGGACAUUCUGUUAAUUUUAUCUUCUUGGAAAUGUCCCUCCUGGGCCCUUCUGGCUGCUCCCAUCUGGACUGGAGGCUUCUCCCCGUGGAGCAGAGUCACUGUCCUAGGAUCUCCCUCCAUCACUAUCUGGGAAGGUGCUUUACAUGCAGUGGAGCCACCUGGGUUCCAGCCAAAAUGCAGACUGAUUCAACAUGUCAAGGCUGGGCCUGUGAGCCUUUCUGUCUAGUUUCAGGAGGUGCUGAUUUUCCUGGUUCAUGGGUGAUAGCUGGGGUAGCAGGGAUCUCUCUUUUUGUCUCAUAGUUUUCUGUAUCUAAGGUAAGCGCAUACUAAUAUAUUUUUAAUGAAUUCAUGUACUUUUUCCCUAAAUUAGUAACAGGGCUAAUUAGUCUUUUCCUUGGGCCAAAAACUACAUUAUGUAAAAUUUGGUAUCUUAACUAUUUUAAAGUAUACAGUAGUACAGUAUUAACUGUAAAUACAUAGUUGUGCAACAGAUCUCUAGAACUUUUCAUCUUGCAACACUGAAACUCUAUGCCCAUUGAACAAACAUUCAUCCAUCCCCCUCACCGAGCCCCUAGCAGCCAUUAGUCUACUUUCAGUUUAGACACCUCAUAUAAAUGGAAAUGUGCAGUAUUGGGUUUUCUUUGUGAUUGGCUUAUUUUACUUAGCAGUGUCCUUCAGGUUUAUCCCUGUUGCAGCCUGUGACCAGGUUUCCUUCUUAAGGCUGAAUGAUAUUCCGUUGUCGAUAUAUACCACAUUUUCUUCAUUCAUGUGUUGGUGUGUGUUGUCUUGGCUAUCGUGAAUAAUGCUGCUUUGAAUAUGGGUAUACAAUGUUUUUCUUUUCAAACCUUCCCUCACUUUGGUGGAAUUAAUCCUUUAGUAGCUACUUCUGACAGCACAUAUUUAAAGUAUGUUUGUAUGGUUCAAUUUUUCCAUUGUUUUUAUUCUCUCCAGGAAGAGGAGAUAAAUAUAUGAAGGUGCUGUUUGGCACAGAAUUUAAUAGGGAAGAAAGAGACAGUAUAACUCACCAGUGCUGGGUCUCAUCAUCCUGCAAUUUCAGAACAACUAUGAAUACAAAAAGAAUUUUAAAAUCCCAGUCCUGCCUAGAAAGGGGAAGUCAUCUCUAAAUAUGGUGGCCCUGGGGCAGCUGGCCUCCCUGCCAGGCCUCUUCCAUGGGGGCCCUUUCUGCAGUGACUGUGGUUUCUUCCCAUUUUACUCUGUCCUGUGUCCUGACUGAAGCGACAAGGUGUGUCUGCAGCUGUGCUCACACCUGGAGGAAACCUCAAUGGUGACAUGAUGACCCUAGCAGCACAUCCUCUUUCCUGUGUCAAGAAGCAUCGUCCGGGGAGGUGAGAAGAAGACAGUCCUCCCUAGAAUUGAAGAACCAGGGAGAACCAGAUGGGCUGGGCAGAUCAAGCACAAACCUGAGAUCCAACUGUCCCUCUUAUGCGCCUGGGUUUCUUCACUGGACACCAGUAUGAGUCAACUUUCCUGUAAAGCAGAACAAGCACGAGAUUGGACCAUGUUAGAGGAGGAAUGGUGUCAUCUCCACUUCUGGAGAGAUCACUGUCCCCGUGUUUGGGGGAAGGACCAAGCCUCACUCCCAUGCAGAGAAGAAGCUCUGACUGUAACUGCACCUGUGGAGAGGUGAGGACCUGUCCCCUCUACACCGAUGGCCAGAGCCUCCAGAGUGGGGCCAGGCUUUUCCCUCAGCUGUGUCCUGUCAGGUUUAUCUAGGCCUCAAAGAAUAGACCCUGGACAUUGCCUCUGGCAAUGUGAGCUGGACACACACCCAGAUGUAAGGUAGCCCUGCCAAGUAUCCUGGGGUUGCCAGUAGUUCUGGGUGCUCAGUGUCUGGAGCGGAGGGUGGGAAGGAGGCUUGAUGCAGAACAAGAACCAUAUGUCACAUACUAUUUUAUUCUUUAUUAGUGUUUUUGUCAUAAAAAACCCCACGGGUACCAUAAAAGAUAAAAGAUCUAAAAAUGGUGCCCUUUAAUCAAAAGUAAACACCCUUUAACCAUCAGAGAGAGGGAGAAGUUUGGCAGCUGACCUAGAAGCCCCAUCAACUGCCCCAGCUCAAUGAUAAACUCUUCUCUUCUUCAAAUAAAAGCACAUCCUGGCUUACAUGGCCAUCACUUCUUUGUACAAUUUUAUAUUUUUAUCAUCUAAAGUUAUAGUUUAGUUUUACCUUUAAGAGUAUAUUUUUAUCCUCAUUUAUUCCAUAGAUUCCUGCUUGAAAUUUAUAUUGUCUGGUAGUUUCCUGUCCUUUGCAUUUUGCAGAUUGCACCCCAAGGUGUGGUUUAAUGUAUCUCUAUGACCUGUAUUUUCUGUAAAUUGGUAGUUUGUUAUAGAGGUUUGCGUCUAUUCAGGGUUUUUUUUUUUUUUUUUUUUUUUGCCAUGAGGAUUGAUGGUACUAUAUCAUGUUUUUCAUCAAGAGGAAGAAUUCAAUACUAGUUAUUUCUUUUUUGUGAUGUUAAUUGCCAUUGCUGUUCAGUGGCUAAAUCUGUUAAUUCAUUACAAAUUGCAAAAGUCUCAGUCUUUCAUUUCUUUUCAUAUACUAGCUGCAUAAUUUCUAAAAUAAAAGAUUUACCCUCUUCCACCAGUUAUCUAUUCAGUAGAAACUUGUUUUUUGAGAGACUAAACCAAGUUUCUAAUCACCUAUGACCCAGCAAUUCCACUUUUUGUUAUAUACCAAUAGAAAUGCAUGCAUUUGUGUCCCAAAAUAUAUGAAAAUAUUAUUUAUAGCAGCACGAUUUGUAGACUCUGAAUACAACACAAAUGUCUAUCAACAGUGGAGAGACAAGAAGUGUGAGCUAUUUAUAAAGCUGAGCACCUGACUGCCACGGGAGUGAUAGUGACCACACACAGCAAGACCUGGGACAUGGCAGUGACUGUGUCCAGAACUGACAGAACUAAUCUAUCAUAUUAGAAAUCAAGAAAGUGUCUGCUCUAGGGUUGGGGAGGGUGAUUUAUGACCAAGUAGAACCCAAUGGUGUUUCCUGGAGGCUGGAAAUGCUAUUCCUUGAUGUGGCUGCUAUUUACCUGAGUGUUCACUUUGUGAAAAUCCACGGCCCACUUAUGGUUUGUCCACCUUUCUCCAUGCAUGUUGUCCUUCAUUCAAGUAUACAUUUCUGAUGUUUUGAAACAAUUCUCUCUAAGCUAAUAUAGAAUCUCCAUUACUGAAAGUCCUUAGAAAUGCUGCAUUGGAAAAAAUUAGUCCAAUUAUUAAAAAUCUAUGAAAUAAAUGCUGUGACUCAGACAUUAAGAGGAGAAUCUACAACAAGAGCAGUAGGCUUGGGAGCUAACGCAAGAACAGCUUUGGAAAUGGCUGUUGAGCCAGGAACUAGGAAUCAAAACCCAAAAAGGCCCAUGCAAGGUGGAGGGUGUGAAAUGAUGCCCCAGUAGUGCAUGAAUGAAUGAGUCAUGGGCAGUGGCUCAUGGGUUGCUUGGUCAGUCAGGAACUUGAGCAAAAUAAAGUUGGAAAACUGGGGGAUGGAAGAGAGAGGUAUGCACAGACCUCUUGACAUGGGCAGAGCUUCAGAAGAUGGUGGUUGCAGGUUUCCCCAAAUAGAGAACAUCAAUAAAAAGGUAGAAAUUUUACAAAGAGACCAGAUAAAAAGUUUGGAGCUGAAAAGUGCAAUAACUGAAAUGAAAAAUUCACUAGAGGGGCUCCAGAGCAAAUUUCACCAUGCAGAAUGGAGAAUCAGCAAGCUUGAAGAUAAGACAAUUGAAAUUCUCUAGUUCAGUAGCAGAAAGAAAAAAAAUUAUGAAGAAAAAUAAACAGAACUUUAAAGAUCUGUGAGACAACAUCAAGCACAUGCACUUUGGGAGUCCUCAAAGAAAGGAGAGAGAGAAAGGAGAAGAAUGACUAUUUAAAGAAUAACUCCAAACCUUCCAAAUUUGAUGAAAAACAUUAUUCAUCCAACAAACUUGACAAAUUUUAAGCAGCAAAAAAAAUUAAAUUUAAAGAGGUCCACACCAAGAGAACAUUAUAAUCAACCUGUCAAAAGCCAAUGACAAACAGAGCAUAUUGAAAUGAAUAACAGAGAAGGAACUUUUCAGGUUCAAUGGAUCCUCAAUAAGAUUGCAGCCCAGUUUUCUUCAGAAACCAUAGAGUUCAGAAGGCAUUGGAAUGUUGACAAAUUUAGAGGUCAGAAAAAAAAAGACUGUCAUGCAGGAAUUGUGUGUCUGGAAAAACUCUCCUUCAGAAAUAAUGGAUUUUAU